UACGUAGGAGACGAGCGUUGUCCGGAGUUACUGGGCGUAAAGGGUGCGCAGGUGGUUGUGCGCGUGGGGGGGUGAAAUCGCCCGGCUUAACUGGGCGGGGGCCUUCCAGACGGCAUGACUUGAGCAGCGGAGGGGGACGUGGAAUUCCGGGUGGAGCGGUGAAAUGCGUAGAGAUCCGGAGGAACACCGACGGCGCAGGCA
rnacentral:rRNA from 1 species